rnacentral:rRNA from 1 species
GAUGAACGCUGGCGGCGUGCCUAAUACAUGCAAGUCGAGCGAACGGACGAGAAGCUUGCUUCUCUGAUGUUAGCUGCGGACGGGUGAGUAACACGUGGAUAACCUACCUAUAAGACUGGGAUAACUUCGGGAAACCGGAGCUAAUACCAGAUGAUAUUUUUAACCGCAUGGUUCAAAAGUGAGAGACGGUCUUGCUGUCACUGAUAGAUGGAUCCGCGCUGCAUUAGCUAGUUGGUAAGGUAACGGCUUACCAAGGCAACGAUGCGUAGCCGACCUGAGAGGGUGAUCGGCCACACUGGAACUGAGACACGGUCCAGACUCCUACGGGAGGCAGCAGUAGGGAAUCUUCCGCAAUGGGCGAAAGCCUGACGGAGCAACGCCGCGUGAGUGAUGAAGGUCUUCGGAUCGUAAAACUCUGUUAUUAGGGAAGAACAUAUGUGUAAGUAACUGUGCACAUCUUGACGGUACCUAAUCAGAAAGCCACGGCUAACUACGUG